AUUGAACGCUGGCGGCAGGCUUAACACAUGCAAGUCGAGCGGAGAUGAGGUGCUUGCACCUUAUCUUAGCGGCGGACGGGUGAGUAAUGCUUAGGAAUCUGCCUAUUAGUGGGGGACAACAUUCCGAAAGGAAUGCUAAUACCGCAUACGUCCUACGGGAGAAAGCAGGGGAUCUUCGGACCUUGCGCUAAUAGAUGAGCCUAAGUCGGAUUAGCUAGUUGGUGGGGUAAAGGCCUACCAAGGCGACGAUCUGUAGCGGGUCUGAGAGGAUGAUCCGCCACACUGGGACUGGGACACGGCCCAGACUCCUACGGGAGGCAGCAGUGGGGAAUAUUGGACAAUGGGGGGAACCCUGAUCUAGCCAUGCCGCGUGUGUGAAGAAGGCCUUAUGGUUGUAAAGCACUUUAAGCGAGGAGGAGGCUACUGAGACUAAUACUCUUGGAUAGUGGACGUUACUCGCAGAAUAAGCACCGGCUAACUCUGUGCCAGCAGCCGCGGUAACAC
rnacentral:rRNA from 1 species